UACGGGGGGAGCAAGCGUUGUUCGGAUUUACUGGGCGUAAAGGGUGCGUAGGCGGCGCGGUAAGUCGGGUGUGAAAUCUUGGAGCUUAACUCCGAAACUGCAUUCGAUACUGCCGUGCUUGAGGACUGGAGAGGAGACUGGAAUUUACGGUGUAGCGGUGAAAUGCGUAGAUAUCGUAAGGAAGACCAGUGGCGAAGGCGGGUCUCUGGACAGUUCCUGACGCUGAGGCACGAAGGCCAGGGGAGCAAACGGG
rnacentral:rRNA from 1 species